rnacentral:pre_miRNA from 1 species
AUAAUACUCCCUCCGUUCGAAAUUACUUGUCAUAAAAAUGGAUGUAUCUACAACUAAAAUACAUCUAGAUACAUUCAUUUCUUCGACGAGUAAUUCCGAACGGAGGGAGUAUAUA